rnacentral:rRNA from 1 species
GAUCAUGGCUCAGAUUGAACGCUGGCGGCAUGCUUUACACAUGCAAGUCGAACGGCAGCACAGGGAGCUUGCUCCCGGGUGGCGAGUGGCGCACGGGUGAGUAAUACAUCGGAACGUGUCCUGUUGUGGGGGAUAACUGCUCGAAAGGGUGGCUAAUACCGCAUGAGACCUGAGGGUGAAAGCGGGGGAUCGCAAGACCUCGCGCAAUUGGAGCGGCCGAUGCCCGAUUAGCUAGUUGGUGAGGUAAAGGCUCACCAAGGCGACGAUCAGUAGCCGACCUGAGAGGGUGACCGGCCACAUUGGGACUGAGACACGGCCCAAACUCCUACGGGAGGCAGCAGUGGGGAAUAUUGCACAAUGGGGGAAACCCUGAUGCAGCGACGCCGCGUGAGCGAAGAAGUAUUUCGGUAUGUAAAGCUCUAUCAGCAGGGAAGAAGAAAUGACGGUACCUGACUAAGAAGCACCGGCUAAAUACGUG